UUGGGAGAAAUGGGAUUGAUUUCGGGAGUGAGAUCCAGUGACUAAGCUAGCAGCUAAGAAAGUGAAAUGAAUGAAGAUAUUGUAGAGAGGGUGAGAGAAAAAUAGAAGAAGAUGGUAUUUAUAUGUAGAAGAAUCGAUUUGGGUGGUGAGUUGACAGUAAGAUAUCAUCUGCAAGUGUUUGAAUUAGGAGAGUAGUGUCUGUCAAACAGAGUCUAAGUUGUGAGAGAUGCAUUGGUGAGUUGAGAAUAAAAUAUCAAAAGUUUGAACACGUUGUCUUCAUUUUCUACAUUGCUUGCCCUCAAAGUUCUAUUUCCUAAAUUUUUAAUGGAUACAAGGAAUAAUGCUCAUGCAAACGGGGGUUGGAGCGUCACGUCUCCACCUUAUCAUGGUACAAUACGAAACAUUCGUGUAUGAUCACAAC
rnacentral:lncRNA from 1 species